rnacentral:rRNA from 1 species
AUUGAACGCUGGCGGCAUGCCUUACACAUGCAAGUCGAACGGCAGCGGGGACUUCGGUCCGCCGGCGAGUGGCGAACGGGUGAGUAAUGUAUCGGAACGUACCAUUCAGUGGGGGAUAACUAUCCGAAAGGAUAGUUAAUACCGCAUAUUCUGUCAGCAGGAAAGCAGGGGAUCGCCAGACCUUUCGCUGAUUGAGCGGCAGAUAUCAGAUUAGCUAGUUGGUGGGGUAACGGCUCACCAAGGCUACGAUCUGUAGCGGGUCUGAGAGGAUGAUCCGCCACACUGGGACUGAGACACGGCCCAGACUCCUGCGGGAGGCAGCAGUGGGGAAUUUUGGAGAAUGGGCGCAAGCCUGAUCCAGCCAUGCCGCGUGAGUGAAGAAGGCCUUCGGGUUGUAAAGCUCUUUCGGCCGGGAAGAAAUCGCAUCAGCUAAUACCUGGUGUGGAUGACGGUACCGGAAUAAGAAGCACCGGCUAACUACGUGCCAGCCGCCGCGGUAACAC